UGCAACGCGAAAAACCUUACCUACCCUUGACAUGUCACUAACGAAGUAGAGAUACAUUAGGUGCCCGUAAGGGAAAGUGAACACAGGUGCUGCAUGGCUGUCGUCAGCUCGUGUCGUGAGAUGUUGGGUUAAGUCCCGCAACGAGCGCAACCCUUGUCUUUAGUUGCUACGCAAGAGCACUCUAAAGAGACUGCCGGUGACAAACCGGAGGAAGGUGGGGAUGACGUCAAGUCCUCAUGGCCCUUAUGGGUAGGGCUUCACACGUCAUACAAUGGUGCGUACAGAGGGUUGCCAACCCGCGAGGGGGAGCUAAUCUCUUAAAACGCAUCAUAGUCCGGAUCGUAGUCUGCAACUCGACUACGUGAAGCUGGAAUCGCUAGUAAUCGCGGAUCAGCAUGUCG
rnacentral:rRNA from 1 species